rnacentral:lncRNA from 1 species
UUUAACCAAAUUUAAUUAACAGUGGCCUGUGGGUUGUGGUCCAAGACACUACUUCUCGAGUGCUGCUGUUUCCGAACAACCUGCCCCAAUUCCGUGAAUUGUGAAUUACUACACUACACCAAUAUAAUCAUAAAUGCAGCAUUUCACAACAUCAACACAAACAAACACAGUGGCCUAGACACCCCUAAAAAGGACAAAAAAUCAAUCUCAUCCACAAAAAUCUGCACAAAGUCAAAACUAGUAAGAAAUACAUAACAC